UACGUAGGUGGCAAGCGUUGUCCGGAUUUACUGGGCGUAAAGAGCGCGCAGGCGGUCGUUCAAGUCGCGUGUGAAAGCCCCCGGCUCAACUGGGGAGGGUCACGCGAUACUGAUCGACUCGAAGGCAGGAGAGGGUAGUGGAAUUCCCGGUGUAGUGGUGAAAUGCGUAGAUAUCGGGAGGAACACCAGUGGCGAAGGCGAAUCCCUGGAAAAUACCUGACACUGAGGCACGAAAGCUAGGGGAGCAAACAGG
rnacentral:rRNA from 1 species